UCUGCUAAUGAUUGCAUCGGAAAGUAUCGACGUGGUGAAUCCCCCUGAGCGGAGGGGCGGCCAGUCAGUUACAGUGAUCUAUAAAUGCAGCGCGAGCCAUGUAGACUGGGACUGGUUCACCGGGAGGCACCCGGCAUCACACUCGUUACUAAGCAAAUUCGUAGCAGGUUUAAUCCCCUUAUUAACCCUGCUAUGUUU
rfam:Klebsiella pneumoniae subsp. pneumoniae DSM 30104 plasmid pKPt4 Contig00026, whole genome shotgun sequence.